CAAACGUCUCGCUUUACCGUUUGUUAUCUAGUAAACGUGUCAAACUGUCAAACAAAUUAAAAUGUACAAAACUGUUAAAUAUAGAGUUAAAAGACAAAAUGCAAAGCAACUUUGCGUCCAUUGACCCUAGUUUCACCUGUGCCCAAACACUUGAAGCUUUCGCUUGUACAUUUUGCAAUUUUACAACCGCCUUCAAGCUCAUUUUGCACCACCAUAUCCGAAACUUACAUUUAGUUGAAAAUGAAGCGACUUGUAAAACUGUUGCAAAGUAUAAAUGCCGCAAGUGCAACUAUGCCACCUAUUCAGUCCUACUCUGGUUCAAACACAAUGUUAGAAAAAACUUGGGUAUUAAUGAAUUUACGAAUGUUUACCGAUUUGAAUGCACUUAUUGUGCGUUUAAAACCUCGCAAAAGGUGUCACUGCAAUUCCACAUUGUUAACAAACACACUCCAGUUGACGAAAUCAAUUGGUUUCAUUGUGAACAAUGUGAUUUCAAAACUAAAUUAAAAGCCUCGUUAAAAAGACACAUCAAAAUAAAGCACACAGUCACUGAUGAAUCCGAAUGGUUUUUUUGCGACUUGUGCAAUUACAAGUCGCAACAAGAACGAUAUUUAAAGAGACACAAAAUGUAUAAUCACUCGAAAAAUAUUAGCUGGUAUGGGUGUAAAGAAUGUACUUUUCAAACAAAACAUCCAAGCCACUUAAAAACCCACAUAUUGAGGAGACAUACGGGCCCGGAGGCCGCCCUAUGGCUCACUUGUGAGCACUGCAGUUACCACACAAAGGUAAAGAAAGACAUGGCAAAGCACGUUAAAGUAACACAUACCCAAGACGGUGCAAAAAAAAGCACUCAAGAAAUCGAAUGGUUUGAGUGCGAUCUUUGCGACUAUAAAGGAAAACGCAAGGACAACCUUAUCCUUCACAAAAAAAUGCAGCAUUCUGAUAAUAGUGUACAGAGACUCUCGUGCAAAAACUGCCCCUUUAAAACAGCAUCAGAGGCAGCUUUGAAAAAACAUAUCGCAAGGAGACACCUAUCGGGAAAAUUGUUGCACGAGUGUCCUCACUGUUUUUAUACGACAAGGUUCAGGGUUUAUCUUACGCAACAUGUCAUAAGACAACAUACCGAUGCCGAAAACAUUGAAUGGUUCAAAUGCGGGCAUUGUGAUUACAAGGGGAAGCUUAAGGGGGAUUUGAUGCGACAUGUAAGGAAAGCGCAUGAAAAUGCCAAGAUGUUUAGUUGCGAUUUGUGUGAGUAUAAGUCCAAGAGGAAGGAUAAUAUUAAGAGGCAUAAGGUCAGGCGGCAUUUUACCAAAAAUCAAGUGUAAAUAAAUUGUUUAUUUCAAUAAAAAUGUUUUCUAA